rnacentral:rRNA from 1 species
UACGUAGGGAGCAAGCGUUGUCCGGAAUCAUUGGGCGUAAAGCGCGCGUAGGCGGCCCCGUAAGUCCGCUGUGAAAGUCAAAGGCUCAACCUUUGAAAGCCGGUGGAAACUGUGGGGCUAGAGUCCGGAAGAGGCGAGUGGAAUUCCUGGUGUAGCGGUGGAAUGCGCAGAUAUCAGGAGGAACACCAAUAGCGAAGGCAGCUCGCUGGACGGUACUGACGCUAAGGCGCGAAAGCGUGGGGAGCGAACAG